CCCCUCGGCCNUGCAGAGCUCGUGACGGCGGGUUCCUGCUUCUCCCGAAAACCCAGCCUGGCUGGCAUCUUCCCCGCUGGCUCAGCCGGCUCCCGUGCACAAAAGCAGCAGUUUCUGCCCCUUCCUGUGGGACCGAGGGCUUCUCCCGCGCUGCUCCUGCCUGUUUAGGGUGGCUCCAGGCUCCUGUGUUGCACAGCUCAGGUGCCACCCUCGGUUGAGCUGGGUCCCACCAGCAUGACUGCAUCCUCUGGGCACCGUGGGCACAACCUCAGCCUUGCACCCAGCAGAAGCCAAGCGCCUGCUCCCCGCCCCACCCAAGCACAGGGCCCGAGAACAACCUCCUUCCUCCUCCCAAAAGCCGACAGCCCUCUUAAGGCUGUUUUCAUCAGCUUUCGCUUCGCCCAUCAGGCCGGCCUCAGCCGCAUCCCCACUUCUGCACUGCUGGGAACCCCCCGCAGCCAGAGCCCCAGCAAAAACCACACAAGGAGCUGAGAAGGCUCCAGAACUGGUUUCAUCAACUUUUCAAGCUUGGGAGAUCAUCGAGUGUCUGGCAGUGACGCUGACAGUAAUCACCUCUGCGGGAGGUGACUAAAACCAAAGAGAAGAAAAGACGACGAAUGUGCAAAUGACAGGGGCAGAAACAGCUGUCCCGUUGGUAAUCUUCACUGUAGAGAUGCUUUUGGAGA
rnacentral:lncRNA from 1 species